GAGCAGUUCUCAUGGCUAUUUACAAGUCGUUUGCAUUACUGUGAUAGAAGGCUACUCCCACUCCCCAAAUCUUCAGCAGCCUCCCAGACACAAAACAAAGAUACCAAGGAAGGAAUCACAAAGAUGAAUGGAACCACAGAUCGGAUGCCACCGAAGAAGGAAGCAGUGCCCUGGAAGAUCGGUGGUGCCUGGGAAAUCGCCUCCUGCCCCUCCUGUCCCGUUCCCCCUCUUAGCGAUGCUGCUGCUUUCUCCUUCCCUGAGAAACUGCCGCAGCCCCUCCUCAGAGAUCCAGCCUCUGUUCUUCAAGGCCCCCUAUCCUGCCUUCUAGGCUUCAGAUGACCUCAACCCCCUCCCUUUUCCCCAGGCUCCGGGGCUGGGGGGCAGCUUCUUCCUGUACCAUCUCUGUUCCUCCAGCCCUCCGAUCCCUGGGUAACCUAGUGGGGCUCGAGGCACCCAUGACCUGCGGGGGCCUCACCACUCAUCAAGCUCUCCCCUGCGGUUGACUGGGAUGAAGGGCCAGUGCAGCAAGUGCCCAGGGGAGCCGCAGCGGCUGCUGCCCUGAACUGUCGUGGAGGGGACGCUGGGGAUCAAGGCUGUGUGUGGGGUGACUCCACAGUGUCCCCGGGAGUGCACGGAGAAAAAACUGACAAGGUCCGAUUCCUUACCUCUCAGCUCAAGGCACAGUAUGCCAGCCAGAGCACUUCCAUGGCAGCCCUAAAAAUUCUCUUCCUCCUGUAACCUGCAGGGCUGACGGUACUGGAAAUCAAACACUACAAACACAAACGAAACCUGCAUCAUUGUGCGGGUUGCAGAAUCCCAAGGUCACCUGAAUUCCCAGCCUCUCCAUGUUUCUCGUGUGAAGGCUACGGCACUGGCUGGAGGAGUGGGACCCUGAAGCCUAGAAUCGGGACAUCGGGUUGCCCUCGGUGGAGGCUGACAGUCGGGAAGCCCCCGGUCCCCUGCAGCCUCCCUUGCGGGUGGAAGUAGCCUGCCCUCCCGUCUCUGGCAGGCUGCUGUUCUCUCCCUUGAGGACUGUGUCAUCACCUCACCUGGCGCAGAUGCCUUGCAAGGGGACACCCUCUGUCCUCCACACCUGUGCCACCCCACCCUGUUGCCAUUAGACCCAUAACUGGGGCCUAAUCACAGCAUGAUCCAGGGGGACAGACCAAAGCCUGACCCUAGAGGAAAGAGCGUCAUGCGUCAAUACAUAUUUUCCAUAAGGAUAUUAAAAAAAUAUUUUCCAGA